AUUCAAACAAGAAAUUUUGGAAUAUAACCGGAGUUUCAUAUAGCUCUCGUUAUAAUUAAUAGUCAAAAUCUAUUCAUUAUACAAAUAAUGGUUACAUAGAAUAAUUUCCCAAGAGGAAACACUUGCAGAGUGAAUAAAAAAUAAAAAAUUCUUCUUUCCUAAGAACAUGCAUAAAACUUCCCGGAGAAAUGGAGAAAGGUCUUUACUACAGAUCAGGUAAACUAUGGCUAUAGUAGCAAAGUAUAUGCAAGGCGCUUCAUGUUCAAAUCAUUUACUGAAGCCACAAAACAGAAGCUAGUUUUCUGAAGCCAACAGAUACCUUUUAAAUGUCCCAGAUCCCACAUUAUAACUAUGCAAUAUAUAAUGAAGUGUUUGAGGUUAGAAUGAGAAGGCCAGAUCAAUGGCUCCGUCCAGUGAAUGGUACAACUGUGUGUGGGGUUGGGACUGGGAGAGCAUGGCAUUUUCAUCACUCAACAAGUGCAAGCAGCUGGUGAGCUGUUCCUUACGUGAAAAUGAUGAGGAAUGAUCGGGGUGGGGCUUAUUUAAACUCAAUUACGAGUGCCGAGCUUCUCCAUCUCAGCCUCUGAUAUAUAUGAUGACGCACCAUAUAUAUAACAUAGCAAAUGCAGAUGCAGGUGCAUGAUGCAUUGGCAACGUAGAGAUGAGAAAAAAGUUCCAGAUGGAAACAAUGUUAUAAGCGUAGUGCAGUACAGAAUCAAUGUUAUAAGGGUAGUGCAGUACAGAAUCAACUUCACUUCAAUGCUUCUGUAGAUCUAGAGAGAGAGAGAGAGAG
rnacentral:misc_RNA from 1 species